rnacentral:tRNA from 1 species
AGCGGCGUGGGCUCACGGAAAGAGCACCGGGCCUGGGAGUCGAAGGAUCUGGGUUCUAAUCCCAGCUCCGCCA